GACGAACCGUGCAAACGUUGUUCGGAAUCACUGGGCUUAAAGGGCGCGUAGGCGGGCGUUCAAGUCAGGGGUGAAAUCCCCCAGCUCAACUGGGGAACUGCCUCUGAUACUGGGUGCCUCGAGUGAGGUAGGGGCGUGCGGAACUGAUGGUGGAGCGGUGAAAUGUGUUGAUAUCAUCAGGAACUCCGGUGGCGAAAGCGGCGCGCUGGACCUUAACUGACGCUGAUGCGCGAAAGCCAGGGGAGCAAACGGG
rnacentral:rRNA from 1 species